GAUGAAGAACGUAGCGAAAUGCGAUAAGUAAUGUGAAUUGCAGAAUUCAGUGAAUCAUCGAAUCUUUGAACGCACAUUGCGCCCGCUGGUAUUCCGGCGGGCAUGCCUGUUCGAGCGUCAUUUCAACCCUCAAGCUCUCCGGAGUUUGGUGUUGGGGCGCCUGGGGCUUUUCGACCUCAGGGCCCUCAAGUCCAUCGGCGGGACCGCCAGGACACUGAGCGCAGUAGUAUUAUUUCGCUCGGUAGGAUCUUCCACGGCGGGUCGAUCUGGCCGCUAAACCCCCCAAUUCUCACCAAAGGUUGACCUCGGAUAAGGUAGGAAUACCCGCUGAACUUAAGCAUAUCAAUAAGCGGAGGA
rnacentral:misc_RNA from 1 species